rnacentral:rRNA from 1 species
AUUGAACGCUGGCGGCAUGCUUUACACGUGCAAGUCGAACGGUAACAGGCCGCAAGGUGCUGACGAGUGGCGAACGGGUGAGUAAUGCAUCGGAACGUACCCAGUCGUGGGGGAUAACGCAGCGAAAGCUGUGCUAAUACCGCGUACGAUCUAUGGAUGAAAGCGGGGGGCCGUAAGGCCUCGCGCGAUUGGAGCGGCCGUUGUCAGAUUAGGUAGUUGGUGGGGUAAAGGCCUACCGAGCCGACGAUCUGUAGCUGGUCUGAGAGGACGACCAGCCACACUGGGACUGAGACACGGCCCAGACUCCUACGGGAGGCAGCAGUGGGGAAUUUUGGACAAUGGGCGCAAGCCUGAUCCAGCCAUGCCGCGUGCAGGAUGAAGGCCUUCGGGUUGUAAACUGCUUUUGUACGGAACGAAAAGACUCUGGUUAAUACCUGGGGUCCAUGACGGUACCGUAAGAAUAAGCACCGGCUAACUACGUGCCAGCCGCCGCGGUAAUAC